GUAGUCCACGCCCUAAACGAUGUCAACUAGUUGUCGGGUCUUAAUUGACUUGGUAACGCAGCUAACGCGUGAAGUUGACCGCCUGGGGAGUACGGUCGCAAGAUUAAAACUCAAAGGAAUUGACGGGGACCCGCACAAGCGGUGGAUGAUGUGGAUUAAUUCGAUGCAACGCGAAAAACCUUACCUACCCUUGACAUGGCAGGAAUCCCUGAGAGAUCAGGGAGUGCUCGAAAGAGAACCUGCACACAGGUGCUGCAUGGCUGUCGUCAGCUCGUGUCGUGAGAUGUUGGGUUAAGUCCCGCAACGAGCGCAACCCUUGUCAUUAGUUGCUACCUGCGUCUUCGGAUGCAGCGCACUCUAAAGAGACUGCCGCUGAUAAAGCGGA
rnacentral:rRNA from 1 species